rnacentral:rRNA from 1 species
GUCUACAGCCAUAACACCCUAAAUGACCUGAUCUCAUCUCAUCUCCGAAUCUAGGCAGGGUCGGGCUGGUUAGUACUUGGAUGGAAAAAACUCCGUGUCUCAAAAAAAAAAAAAAAAGUGUGUGUGUGUG